rnacentral:lncRNA from 1 species
GGCGGUGCGGCGGCAGCGCAGGGCCCUCCUGCGGGGCCAGGCAGGGGCGGGUGGGCGCUCCUUGCCACCUUUCUGCUCUCCCUGCUGUCCGAGAAGUUCGUGCGGUGCCAGCCCAGCUCCCAGCUGGGGACAGAACAGGAAACGUCCCCGGCGAGCCUGGCGGGGGUGGCGGCAGGGGUGUCUGUCGCCUGCGCUGGGCAGGACGCGCGUCCUACCGGCCUCCCACUCCGCGGGCCUCACCAGCCACCUCACUCCCGGAGCCCGGGCCGCCGAGAGCGCCGCGGAUGGACCUCAGGGAAGGCCUGGCGCGCCGCCUCCGGGAAGCCUUCCGGCCUUCUCCCUCCACCGAGUACUGGGGAGUCUCAGGCCACGGUGAAUGAAGAGCAACGGGCCGGGGAGACCUCGGCCUCUGCCCAGGAGCAGCGCCCAGCAACCCCGCCCACAGGGGACCCGGUGGACGCCCUGGUGGCCACUUUGCCAGGCUCCCCAUCUCCCAGCGAACCAGAGGGGAUUUCCGUUCCCCUCCUGCUUGGUGCCUAGCGCCAGGGCGGGGCGGGGGCUGAGCAGCCCCUCCCAUGGACGGAGCGGCCAGUCUACAUAUUGGAGGAGGGGCUCUGGGGAAAGGGUGUGUUGUUAGGAAGGCGGUUUGAGGCAGCGGGAGGUGGGGAUGCGCCCGGCGGGGAGGGGCAGGUGUGUGGGGAGGGCCUGGGUAGCGCCUCCCCAGCCGGGCCCCGCAGCUGGACCCCGGCUCCGUCCAGCGUGGGAAAGGACUCCACGGUUUAUGCUGAAGUGGUGGUGGGGUGGGUGAACGCUGCGCAGUGGAAGGGCAUGGCCCUGCGCUAAUUGCCCCGGGGUGUGGGGCUGUGGAGGCACUGCGCGGGGGAUGUGCUGUGUCAGUUGGGCAAUGGCGGCCAACUGUGGCGUGCAGGCCUUGGAGCUGCCCCUCCAUGGAGCUUUAAUAAAGGCACUAGCCCUGCAA